ensembl:lncRNA
CUGUAAUGUGAAAGGACAGCCAUCUCUAGGUGUACCUUUUCUUUUCUUCAGAGCGUAGGGCAUCUUUUCGGAAUAUCCUCAGUGAUGACAAUCUCUGUCCUCUGAAUGACUCUGUUCUUGGAAAGAGGUGACAGCCAUUUGGAGCAGGGAAAGCAUAUACGAUUUCACUGUGUAAUAACAUUUUUGGGGCUAAAAUGAGACACUGUUAUGAUAUGAUGAGACUGAUAUUUUUAAAGUGGCUGGUAACCUGGUCUGGAUGACAUUUCCAAGAUUACUGGAAGUGUUUUGAGUGAAGGCAGGGAAUUGAAAUGACUGUACGACAGCUGCAAUUAAGGGAAAGCGCUCAUUUGAAUGUUUGUUAAGAAAUAGGAUUAAAUGCCUUAUCAUCCUCUCUCUUGUCCGGUGCCUGAGGAAAGACUCCAACUUCAUUUCCAGGAUGGGGAAAUCGGAGUUUUCUUAGUGAUGGGUUAAAAGAAAAGCCAACAGGAAUUAAGUGAGAUAAUUAUAUUUACAGCUACAGGCCACUGUAGAUUUCUAAAAGUUCUAAGAAAAGCAUCUCAUUCAGCUACCUCUAUAUUCAUCUUCUGAAGGUUAAAUUAUCUUCAUGUUAUUUUUUGCUUAAAUGCGUUUUUUUUUUCUUUUUGGAGUUUUGGAGAUGGUGAAUGGGAAGUUAUUUAAGUAUUAUUUUUGAAGUUUUCUUUUACUUACAAAGAAUAAGUGAUUUCUUAGUCACUGAAGCAAAAAUAAUAGGUAAAGUGAUUUCAGCACUGUGGCCGAUCGGUUACCAGCAUUUUCUUUUUCAACGGCAUGUGGCAGCAGCUGGUUCUUUCCAGCGAAACCUUGGUGGAGCAGAUGGCAUGGUGACAUCAAAACCAGCCAAGAAGAAUCUGAGCAGACUAGGGCAGGGAGUUAGAGUGACGAUCCUUAACGAGUGUCUCAGGCUCAUAAAGAAGAGACGUCCACGUGGGCUUGGAAUGGAGCUCUGAAAGCGCUUAGCUCAGAGAGCUAAGAAGAUGCUUGGCUACAGUGGAAGGCAUCACUUUUGCUGGAAGAUCAUCUAAAGCCUUUUUAAAAGACAAAAUAACACAGAAGUAAGCUUCCGAGAUGACCUUCCAGAUGUUUCUCUGCAUUUAUUAGCAUAUAGCUAAGCACAGGUAAGGUCUUUCCUGGGCAACAAACGAAAAUUAUGACUCCUCUCUCAGAAACAGCUGACCUCCAGAAUAGAAGACUAGAAACUGAAAUGUAUUUAUGACAAACUCCUUUAGAAUUUUCUGCUUGCUUUUCCCGUGGGCUGUGGAGACAGUCACAUGAAUCAGUCUAUUUAAUAGUUUAAUUCACCCCCAACCCCCAGCGUGGAAAUUCCCCUUGGCUACUGCAAACUCCCGUACACUAACAGGAUGCUCCUUCACGGAGGAAGCCCCAUCACAUGGGGAGGGAUGUUGUCCAGGAAUCCCAGGAUGAGCAGCGGAACAACUGCACUUUCAUCUGCUGUAGGACCAUCAGUCAUUAAAUUUUUGCCAAUGCAAGGAUAACAAAACCAAAAGGCUGCUCGUUCUAGUUUGCAUGUUCCUUAUUGCUAAGAAGGGCUGAGUGUAUUUUUAUGUAUCUAUUGAUAACUUGUGAGUUAUCCAUGAAUUGCCUACUUUUGUCUUCUACUCUAUUUCUUACUGGAUUAUUUUGCUUGUUAUUGAUUUGUGAAAGCUUAUUAUAAUAUUGGAGCAUUGUGACGGACACGAAGAUGUGCCCCCCAGACCCCCGUCAAGGAAGGGCAUGUUGCCUCAGCUGCAGGGAAUGCUCUUAGCAGAGAGCCUUCAGCUGUCGGUGUCCUCAGGGAUGCAUGGGCUGCAGAGCCACCUGCCCCAGGUCACACCCUCACCACAGUGGCUUACAUUUCAAUGACUGCUGUGAUGGAGGGAAGGUUAUAAAGGUCCAACCAUUCUGGCCCGUUAGGAGACAGUUCUGACAGACCAUUUUGCCUCACCCCGUGUGGUCAGGCAAAGCUGCUGUUGGUGUGUGUUGCACCUGGACUUAUGCCUCAGCCAAAUCCCAAAUCCCUCCCUGUUCUCCCGCAGGGACUGAUCUGGCUGUCUCCCACUUCUCCUUUAGGUACCAGCCAAAACGUCCCAUCCUCACGGGGGCCUUUCCUCAUCUUCAACCUAAAUCAAGUCUCCCUACUAUUUUCUGUCUUGGCUUCCGGCAUUUUCCUUCUUCGUUUUUAAACCUGUCAAAAGAUUGAUGUGAUUAUUUGUUUAACGCCUAAAUCCUUCACUAGACUCUAAAUACCAAGAAGGCAGAUAAUUUUCCUCUUUUUUUAAAUCAUCCUAUGUCCAGUUACUAUCAUGGCUCCUGACACAGUACAUCUGCAGUAAAUAUUGAUGAAUGAAGAGCUGAAUAAAAGAAGGAAGGAGAAGAUGAGUUCUCUUUCUAAAAACAUGAUUUUUAAACAAGGAAAACUCCUACGCUACUGAGUUUCUAACAGAAGCAUCACCAACUGAAAUUAUGAGGUCACUCUGCAUUCUUUUCCUGAGUUCUUAAAUUCUUUUGUGCUGUGGGAAUGAGGUUUGAUAGAAAUUAAUCCUGUCCACAUUUUCUUGCAAUGGGUUACUUGAAAUUUAUUUCAAGGAAUUGCCUUUGGAACCCAGGGUUCUUUUGAAUCCAAUUUUAAAACCAUUAUUCCAUGUAAUUAGAAAAGUAUAAAAGAACGAAAAAAAAAAAUAAAAGUUCUAUGGUUAAACCAUUUAAAAACAAAAUUAAUUCUCACUGCUCAAGGCGUAAAGGGGAAAUCUAGAAAGUGGGCAGAGAAAAUGGGUUGUCUCAUUAGAUUUUGUCCAGGACCUAUUAUUAGCAAUUUAGUAGCUCACCCUUGAAUUGGAUUAGAGUGUUACCAUGAUUACUAUAUUUAUAAUGUUACAA